UACGAAGGACCCGAGCGUUAUCCGGAUUCAUUGGGUUUAAAGGGUGCGUAGGCGGGCCUAUAAGUCAGUGGUGAAAGCCCUUCGCUUAACGAAGGAAUUGCCAUUGAUACUGUAGGUCCUGAGUAUAGUUGAGGUGGGCGGAAUGUGUCAUGUAGCGGUGAAAUGCUUAGAUAUGACACAGAACACCGAUUGCGAAGGCAGCUCGCUAAACUAUAACUGACGCUGAGGCACGAAAGCGUGGGUAGCAAACAGG
rnacentral:rRNA from 1 species